rnacentral:rRNA from 1 species
CGGCUUACCAUGCAAGUCGAACGGUGAAGCAGAGCUUGCUCUGUGGAUCAGUGGCGAACGGGUGAGUAACACGUGAGCAACCUGCCCCUGACUCUGGGAUAAGCGCUGGAAACGGCGUCUAAUACUGGAUAUGAGCUGCGACCGCAUGGUCAGCAGUUGGAAAGAUUUUUCGGUCUGGGAUGGGCUCACGGCCUAUCAGCUUGUUGGUGAGGUAAUGGCUCACCAAGGCGUCGACGGGUAGCCGGCCUGAGAGGGUGACCGGCCACACUGGGACUGAGACACGGCCCAGACUCCUACGGGAGGCAGCAGUGGGGAAUAUUGCACAAUGGGCGAAAGCCUGAUGCAGCAACGCCGCGUGAGGGAUGACGGCCUUCGGGUUGUAAACCUCUUUUAGCAGGGAAGAAGCGAAAGUGACGGUASCUGCAGAAAAAGCGCCGGCUAACUACGUGCCAGCAGCCGCGGUAAUACGUAGGGCGCAAGCGUUAUCCGGAAUUAUUGGGCGUAAAGAGCUCGUAGGCGGUUUGUCGCGUCUGCUGUGAAAUCCCGAGGCUCAACCUCGGGUCUGCAGUGGGUACGGGCAGACUAGAGUGCGGUAGGGGAGAUUGGAAUUCCUGGUGUAGCGGUGGAAUGCGCAGAUAUCAGGAGGAACACCGAUGGCGAAGGCAGAUCUCUGGGCCGUUACUGACGCUGAGGAGCGAAAGGGUGGGGAGCAAACAGGCUUAGAUACCCUGGUAGUCCACCCCGUAAACGUUGGGAACUAGUUGUGGGGUCCAUUCCACGGAUUCCGUGACGCAGCUAACGCAUUAAGUUCCCCGCCUGGGGAGUACGGCCGCAAGGCUAAAACUCAAAGGAAUUGACGGGGACCCGCACAAGCGGCGGAGCAUGCGGAUUAAUUCGAUGCAACGCGAAGAACCUUACCAAGGCUUGACAUAUACGAGAACGGGCCAGAAAUGGUCAACUCUUUGGACACUCGUAAACAGGUGGUGCAUGGUUGUCGUCAGCUCGUGUCGUGAGAUGUUGGGUUAAGUCCCGCAACGAGCGCAACCCUCGUUCUAUGUUGCCAGCACGUAAUGGUGGGAACUCAUGGGAUACUGCCGGGGUCAACUCGGAGGAAGGUGGGGAUGACGUCAAAUCAUCAUGCCCCUUAUGUCUUGGGCUUCACGCAUGCUACAAUGGCCGGUACAAAGGGCUGCAAUACCGCGAGGUGGAGCGAAUCCCAAAAAGCCGGUCCCAGUUCGGAUUGAGGUCUGCAACUCGACCUCAUGAAGUCGGAGUCGCUAGUAAUCGCAGAUCAGCAACGCUGCGGUGAAUACGUUCCCGGGUCUUGUACACACCGCCCGUCAAGUCAUGAAAGUCGGUAACACCUGAAGCCGGUGGCCCAACCCUUGUGGAGGGAGCCGUCGAAGGUGGAUGAU